rnacentral:rRNA from 1 species
AGUGAACGCUGGCGGUAGGCCUAACACAUGCAAGUCGAACGGCAGCACAGUAAGAGCUUGCUCUUACGGGUGGCGAGUGGCGGACGGGUGAGGAAUACAUCGGAAUCUACUUUUUCGUGGGGGAUAACGUAGGGAAACUUACGCUAAUACCGCAUACGACCUACGGGUGAAAGCAGGGGAUCUUCGGACCUUGCGCGAUUAAAUGAGCCGAUGUCGGAUUAGCUAGUUGGCGGGGUAAAGGCCCACCAAGGCGACGAUCCGUAGCGGGUCUGAGAGGAUGAUCAGCCACACGGGAACUGAGAAACGGUCCAGACUCCUAGGGGAGGCAGCAGUGGGGAAUAUUGGACAAUGGGCGCAAGCCUGUUCCAGCCAUACCGCGUGGGUGAAGAAGGCCUUCGGGUUGUAAAGCCCUUUGUUGGGAAAGAAAAGCAGCAGGUUAAUACCCCGCUGUUCUGACGGUACCCAAAGAAUAAGCACCGGCUAACUUCGUG